GCCUCGUUAGCGCAGUAGGCAGCGCGUCAGUCUCAUAAUCUGAAGGCCGUGAGUUCAAUCCUCACACGGGGCA
rnacentral:tRNA from 1 species